rnacentral:rRNA from 1 species
AGUGAACGCUGGCGGUAGGCCUAACACAUGCAAGUCGAACGGCAGCACAGUAAGAGCUUGCUCUUACGGGUGGCGAGUGGCGGACGGGUGAGGAAUACAUCGGAAUCUACUUUUUCGUGGGGGAUAACGUAGGGAAACUUACGCUAAUACCGCAUACGACCUACGGGUGAAAGCAGGGGAUCUUCGGACCUUGCGCGAUUGAAUGAGCCGAUGUCGGAUUAGCUAGUUGGCGGGGUAAAGGCCCACCAAGGCGACGAUCCGUAGCUGGUCUGAGAGGAUGAGCGGCCACACGGGGACUAAGACGCGGUCAAGACUCCUAGGGGAGGCCGCAGGGGGGAAUUUUGGACAAGGGGCGCAAGCCUGACCCAGCAAUCCCGCGUGAGUGAAAAAGGCCUUCGGUUUGGAAAGCCUUUUUGUGGGAAAAAAAAAACAGGGGAUUAAUCCCCCGCUGUUCUGACGGUACCAAAAAAAGAAGCACCGGCUAACUUCGUG